ACCUGCGGAGGACAUUC
rnacentral:rRNA from 1 species